ACUUUGGUAAAUGGUUCCUCCAGUCAAGUCUGCAUUAUAUUUCAACCUAUUAUAGUCAUAACAUAAGAGGAGGACUGCUCUGUUAAUGGUGGUGAUGGGCUAAGAUUUGGACACAGAGAUGUCCCCAUGGAAAAUGUCACAUGAAGAUGAAGGCAGAUAAUGCGGUGAAGUUUCUACAAGCCAAGGAAUACCAGAGAUUGGCAGCAUUCCACAGCAAGCCAGAAGGAGAAGUGUGUAAUGAAAGUGAAGAAAUG
rnacentral:lncRNA from 13 species